ACAUGCCUACAACAUAGUGUUAAUGCAUCGGAUCCCAUUAGAACUAUGCAGUUAAACAUGCUCGAGCUAGAGUAGUACUCGGAUGGGUGAUCGCCCGAGAAUUCCUAGUGUUUUACAUGCC
rnacentral:rRNA from 1 species